CAUCAUGUUUCAGCCUUUAAAAAAUUUUAAGAGAAGGAUGUGUCAAACAUAUAAAUUAUUAUAUUUAUUUAAAACAUAAAUAUUACUGUCUUCAUUGUUUAGAUUUGUUUAGAAGGUACAUUGACUUUCACAUUUACAGAUGGCUGAAAUAUAGUGUUUUCCGUGGUAUCAGCUAUACAGAAAGCAGCACUGAGCUCAUAAAUGCUACACUGUAACCGAUUUUUGUAAUUUGAACAGUAUUUUACUGUAAAAUGUAUAUACAGUAUUUUACUGUAAACUGCAAAGGAUUAUGGGAAAAUGUAUGGUCACUACAGUAAACUACUGUAAAUUUACAGUAGUGAACUUGCCCGCGAAAAACUGACCAAUGGCAAGGGAGAUUUAUUUUGUUUGCUGUUUGGUGGAAUCAGCUGUAAAAGGACAAAAGAGACACGUUACACUGUUAACUGGACAAAAAGGUUAGUAGGCCUAUAUUAUUUCUGUUUAAUGCAAAACUGAGAUAUUUUAAGAUGUUUUAACUUAUUAACAGCAAACUAACAUUAUUCAUCGUGUCCUUGACAUGUCGGGAGUUGAGGCCUUUUUUUCUGACUGACAGCCGGAUUAACGCCGCCAUAACAGUGAUAACAUCGACUGUUUGUGAUCUUGUGGUAAUGUCGUCUGCAUCAGAGGAGUCUUUUCCUGUGAUUGCCGUCGUAACAACAGGAGAUUUCUCCAAGCAAAAACAGGAUCCUGAAUAUGAGGGCAGAAUCAUCAUCAGCUGUCCGUUUUACAGAAAUGCAGAAUUAGGUUCAUUCAGUUCUUUGUGGCACCAAAUGCAUUGAAAGUCACAGAUCAGCUGGAAUUCUGGAAAGAGGGUGCAAAGAAAAAGGAUCUGCCUGAAUCCCAUCCUGCUGUUUCUCAUCGGAGAGCUUGUCAACUUUGACUGUCAAAAUCACUGAAAUUUAACACAACAACA